rnacentral:rRNA from 1 species
AGAACGAACGCUGGCGGCAUGCCUAACACAUGCAAGUCGAACGCUCUUGGGAUUUCGGUCUCAAGGGAGUGGCGCACGGGUGAGUAGCGCGUGGGAACCUGCCCUGUUGUGGGGGAUAACCGAGGGAAACUUCGGCUAAUACCGCAUAAGCCGGCUGUCUUGCGAAAGAUGGCCGGGAAAGAUUUAUCGCGACAGGAGGGGCCCGCGUCGGAUUAGGUAGUUGGCGGGUAACGGCCCACCAAGCCGGUGAUCCGUAGCUGGUCUGAGAGGAUGAUCAGCCACACUGGGACUGAGACACGGCCCAGACUCCUACGGGAGGCAGCAGUGGGGAAUAUUGGACAAUGGGCGCAAGCCUGAUCCAGCAAUGCCGCGUGAGUGAUGAAGGCCUUAGGGUUGUAAAGCUCUUUCGCCCGCGACGAUGAUGACGGUAGCGGGAGAAGAAGCCCCGGCUAACUUCGUGCCAGCAGCCGC